GACGUAGGCACCAAGCGUUGUCCGGAUUUAUUGGGCGUAAAGAGCUCGUAGGCGGUUCGGUAAGUCGGGUGUGAAAACUUUGGGCUCAACCCAAAGCGUGCACUCGAUACUGCCGUGACUGGAGUUCGGUAGGGGAGCGGGGAAUUCCUAGUGUAGCGGUGAAAUGCGCAGAUAUUAGGAGGAACACCGGUGGCGAAGGCGCCGCUCUGGGCCGAUACUGACGCUGAGGAGCGAAAGCGUGGGUAGCAAACAGG
rnacentral:rRNA from 1 species